GGGAUGUGGGCGACUAACGUCUGCUCGGGGUUACAGGGCCAGUUGUUCACCAAGGGCUCUAAAAGACAAAUUUGUUUCCUUGAGUCAGUGGACAGCAUGAGUUUGGAGGAUGGAAGAAAAUGGUGUGGCCUUCCAGGCAG